CUCUCACUUCACAUUUCAGGUCAACGCUUCAGAAGCUGUUCGUACAAGACUGCUGUUUCCAGGGAAUGAGGAAGUGUGAAUGCGUCAGACUGUGUGGGACGCCACAGUUUCACAAUGAGAGAGAGUACAUGAGCGCUGGUGUAAAGUUAACUGAACUAACUUCAGACUAUGGAGCCGUCUGGUCUCACGUCUGGUGUGAUGAGGAACGUGUGUGGAUCAGCCGACACUUUACCCUUUAAAACUGAGCUGAUAAAUAAAUCUCUCUGAUCACUCGGUCUGAAUUUUGACUGCAGUAAUGUGUGUGUGUGUGUGUGUGUGUGUGUGUGUGAAAUGCUUCUCUAUAAUCAUAACCUUUUGCCUUUGAGCUUCGCCUCGCUGUGCUCCACAUAACUCACUGAUUCAAGCUUGACCUUAGACGCUGUUGGAUUUGGUGAAACUGUGAGACUGAAAUGAAAGAUGAACUGAAA